rnacentral:rRNA from 1 species
CCUACGGGAGGCAGCAGUGAGGAAUAUUGGUCAAUGGGCGGAAGCCUGAACCAGCCAAGUCGCGUGAGGGAAUAAGGCCCUACGGGUCUUAAACUUCUUUUGCCGGGGAGAAAGGGCGGGGACGUGUCCCGGCCCGGAGAGUACCCGGAGACAAAGCAUCGGCUAGCUACGUGCCAGCCGACGCGGUAAUACGGAGGAUGCGAGCGGUCUCCGGAUUUAUUGGGGUUAAAGGGUGUGUAGGCGGGCGUUUAAGUCAGCGGUAAAAAUUCGGGGCUAAACCCCGUACGGCCGUUGAAACUGGGGGCCUUGAGUGGGCGAGAAGAAGGCGGAAUGCGUGGUGUAGCGGUGAAAUGCAUAGAUAUCACGCAGAACCCCGAUUGCGAAGGCAGCCUUCCGGCGCCCUACUGACGCUGAGGCACGAAAGUGCGGGGAUCGAACAGGAUUAGAUACCCGGGUAGUC